CUCCAGUAUUCUUACCUGGGAAAUCUCAUGGACAGAGGAGCCUGGGGGGCUACAGUCCAUUGUGUCGCAGAAUUGGAUAUGACUAAGCGUGCGUGCACCAAUGCACCAGCUGCUAAUGAGCUGGGCUAACUCUCACAGGUUUCCUCAUCUAUCAGUGAACUACUUGAGCUGGUUGAUCUCAGAGACUCCACUCAGCUUUUGAAAUUUGUCAAUCCCAGGGAACGCCUCUUAAAGAACUGUUCUCCAACUUGGCCAUUCCGGGAGGAUUCUUUACCACUAGUCCCAGCUGGGAAGGAUUCUUCACCACUGAGCCACCAGGAAAGCCCUUUGGGAGAACCGAGGCCUCAAGAAGCUAAGAAGUCUGCCCAAAGGCUCACAACUAUUAAAGGACAGAGCUAGGAUCUGGCAAAGAGCCCUAAUGUAAUAAGUAUGGUCCUAUGGCUGAACUUCACCCCUGACUCAACUCCCAGGAGAUGUUAGCUUUCAAAGGCCCGGUUCCCAGAAAACCUUCCACCAUCCUGGCAUCUAGGAAGCUGCCUCCGUCUCUUAUACAAAACACUACUGUGCCCACCUGAUCCCACUUUUUUUUUCAGUCUCCAAAAACGUGAUCGUCUCUCAUGAUGCCAAUUAUGCAGAAACAAUGGACUUCUGCUCAAUAGUUAACUAUUCACCAUGUAUGAAAGAAAAUCCUGGAAUGUUUACUUCAAAUAUGAAAGUGCCGGCUCAAAGGAAAACUCUUUUAAUAAUUCUCUGGAGUAGGGGAAGAGUUCUAGAGGAAGCCUUCUUGCAACUUUAACCAAAAUGUCGUGGAUUGUGUAUACGAUAAGAGCAGAAUGUCUUGAUCCCAGGAGAAUACACAGAAACAGAGGAGGUAAUUGGAUUAAUCAUUUUGACACCUGAAAGGAUGACAAGAAACUUUUAACCUACCAAUAAUCAGCGGAGGGAGCUGUCAUUGUAGAUGGCUCAGCCAAACUAUGGGGUAUCAUCACAUUAGCUAACUGCCUGGCCAAUUAGAGACGUGUAAUUCUUUCAUAUACUUAGCUUGAAAGUGAAGAUGAUUCAAAACAGUUUCCUUGUCUCUGACACGUAUCCAAAUUUUUAAUAACAGCUAAGCCCUUUACUAAGUAAUUGAAUAAAAUAAUGCAUUCAAGCCCC
ensembl:lncRNA